UUAAUAAAGAAAAAGAAAAGGAAAGUUAACAGAACUCUCUAGGAGCUCCUUCUACAAACACGACAUAUACAUAGUGUAUGAGAAUAUGGUGUCUUGAGUAGGUGACCCUCUCCUUAGUUCAUCGGCUCAAGGUUAAAGAAGAACCUGAUUUCAGCAAGCUAGAAAGAAAAUUUAAAGUGAUUAUUGCCUUAAAUGAAAAGUUAAUCAAGGUUAUACAAGAGAUCAAUCAAGUUUCACUUAAUAGCUAACGAUGAUCAUAAGGUAAGACAAGUGAAGCCCGAAAAGAUCCAGGGAAGGGUAUAGCUUAGCACUAGCGGUGUUGCUCGUUGGAUGGGUAACGAGCAUCUCUUAUGCCUUUUUUUGAUACUAGUUACGUUCCUUUUUGUGCAACUUAUAAAGUUGCAAGUUUAAACCAGUUGAUAACAAGCUUUUUGAACAGAUUUCAUUAAGUAUGUAUGGUCGGUUGUAAAUAAGUAGAAUGUAGUUUUGUACCAGUUUGUACAGAUGGUCCUGGUCAGAGUCUGAUCCUAGUCCUAGUUCUGGUCAUAACUCUCGAGUCAUUAAGG